CGCAAGCCUGACGGAGCCAGACCGCGUGAGGGAAGAAAGCCUUUGGGUUGUAAACCUCUUUUCUCAGGGAAGAAACCUGACGGUACCUGAGGAAUCAGCAUCGGCUAACUCCGUGCCAGCAGCCGCGGUAAGACGGAGGAUGCAAGCGUUAUCCGGAAUUAUUGGGCGUAAAGCGUCCGCAGGUGGCGAUUCAAGUCUGCUGUCAAAGCACGGGGCUUAACUCCGUUAAGGCAGUGGAAACUGACCCACUCGAGGGUGGUAGGGGUAGAGGGAAUUCCCAGUGUAGCGGUGAAAUGCGUAGAGAUUGGGAAGAACACCGGUGGCGAAAGCGCUCUACUGGACCACACCUGACACUCAGAGGACGAAAGCUAGGGGAGCG
rnacentral:rRNA from 1 species